rnacentral:sRNA from 2 species
UAUUUUCUUCGUUAGGUGAGGCUACUUCCUGGAUAUAGGCUACUGCCCGGAAAUGUCGAGAGACACCAACGGGUAAACAGGUAUUACCGGCUUAAGGUUUUACCUAAUGUAGCUGAGGGUUUCCUCUAAGCCAGGUUGAGCUAAAGCUUUGACGAGUGGAGAAGGUU